rnacentral:tRNA from 1 species
AAGGCACUAGUAAAACAAAUUACACUGCCUUGUCAAGGCAGAAUUGUGGGUUAGACCCCCGCGUGCCUUA